CAGACUGAUCUCAUGAAAUAGCGUAUGUAUGACACGCCGAUUCUCAUGCCAUUAUUGGAGUGUUAUCAAGACGCAUACUCGCAUUUUAGCGUGUUUAUCCACCCUGUUUGUUCUCCAUUGACUUACAUUACCUUGCAAUAGUGUGUAGUAUGAGAAGGC